UUAAUGGGUCCCAUUGGCAACUGCUGGCUACAGAAGCCCUCAUAGCAUCAAAUGUCUAGGGAGCAUUAAGGAGACCGUAGGGCUCCGGAGCGACUGCGGUGGCACAAGGUCCCCAUGUGGAAGGAUCUGGCAGAUUUAGUUUUAUCCUCCCACUUAGCCCACCCCUCUGCUGAGAAGGGCUAUUCCAGACCUUCAGGUUCUUUGGAGCCCAAAGGAUCUGUAAUGAUCUGCCCUUUGGAAAUUCACUGAUCAGACUUCCAAGCAGCAUAAUCUUCUGUUUGAAAGAACUAAAGGAAUCCUGUUUCACCCACUUCAGAAGGUGCAUCUUUUGGACCAUCAAAGUGGAGUGAGGACUUUUUGCAGAUGAAUUAGUCUGCCCCCCAAAAACCUGGUUCUGAGUUCUCAAAGAAACCACCCCAGUGCUGUUUAGUUUUAUUUCAGUUUACCUGGAGUGUUUUUCUCCCCCUUGCAGCUGAAUUGAGGAUGCCACGAAUGAUCUGGAAGGAAUGCUGGAUAGAAGGAGCCCAUGUAAUCCAUUGACAAUCCAUUUGCUUCCCCAGCCUUUCAAACAGAUCAACUGCAAGCCUCUUUUCGGACACCAUUAGAUGCUGGUGAGCUCACCGGCAUGUCUGAGUGGCAUGAACCUGGGCUGUUUUCCCUAUAAUGCCAGAGAGGGAGGCAGGGGUAUUAAACCUCUGAGUGAAAGCUCCGAGGAAAGAUAACUAACCCUGCUUCAGCAGCCAAAAGAUUUCAGUGGUUAACAAGACACAUAAGCACAGCAGCACCCAGAUCAAUGGAUUUUGCUAUACAGGUGGCCUCAAAGCCAGCUCCAAAAGAAUGUAUUUGCUAUGAAACUUUUACAGCAGCUAAUUAUCCAAAAGCUUUUCCUUGCCAUUUGUUUUGUAGGUCUUUCUCUAGCUGCUGUCCUUGAUUUUAAAUGAGAUUUUAAACGUAUUGCAGAACAGCGCUAUUGGAUUGUAUUCAUGUUGUUGUGAUCUGUUUUGCCAAUAACCCUUAAGAGCUCAAUUCUACCACCACGGCUCACGCUGAGUAGCAUAUUACUGCAUGAGUGAUUCAAUGGACUUACUCGUUGACUAAGAUGCUGCCAGAUGUGAUCAAGGUUGCAAGAACUGGGUCCUAAAUGAUCAUUGAAAAGUAGUAUUUGUGGGGUUUUCAUUACGAGCCAACUGCUACAUCACAGAAAAACCUUCAAAGCCAUUUUGCAGUUCACAUCUCUUAUUCUCUGCUACGGUGGAUAUUUGCAAGAUGAUUGUUCACAUACCAUACUGCCUAUCCCAAAGGGUGUGUACACACACGAGCAAAGAUCACAUCAUGUAUUCUGUACCAUUUAUUAUCCUGAUGGCAUCACCUAUUAUUAAGAUUGAAAACGUCUUCUAAUGGGAAAAGUCAGGCAAUGGUUUAUAACUUUGUCAAACUUUAACCAUUUGGGCUGAAAUUUUGCAUGCCAGGGUCUGCCUCAUGCGGAAUUAUUUUGGAAAAAUUUCCGUCAAAAUGGUUUAGCCACUUCCAAGGAUGAAGCUAGGGAAAAAUAGGUUGGUUUUGCCUAUAUUAAAAAAAUUCUGUCAACCUUUUCUUUCAGGAGCUGUAGUGCAGCAGGGACUUGAAAUUUGGCUGGGCAAUGGCCUUUGUGUAAAGGAUGUGCCUUUUGCUGUCCACAUAAAAAUCUACUUAAGUUUGUCCAAGUUGAUGGACCUGCUCCGAGGAUGAAUCAGGGUUGUGUAGUGAAGGAGAAUGUUGUCUCUAGGGCCCCAGGUUCAUUUGUUGCAGAAAUUGAAAGGUCCCUGUCUGUACAAUGGAGAGAAGAAUACUCCCUUCAUCUCCUGGAGCGGAGAGUUUCAAAGAUAAAUUCAUUAAUAUUUGUCAAUCACUCAGAGAGUUUAGUGAUGAGCGCCAGAGAAGAAAUUAAAAAUUCUGCCUUCAGAGCAGAGUUUGAAUAUGUCCAAAAAAUAAGGCCUGGGACCACACAUUGAACAAUAAAGAGAACAUAUAAUUUUGAAGAGUGUUCAUUAAAUGAGUACUAUCCACUCUGUGCACUGAAUGAGGUCCGAGUCAUGUGGAAAAAACAAUCUUUAAUGACAUGAUCAUCUGGUGUAUCAUAAUGCAUAAACAAAAGGGGGCUGAAUUAAAGCUGCACAGGCAACCAUAAGCCUGGCAUUUUCUGACUUUCAGGGCUUGACAUUGCAACUUCAAGAAUGUUCUUUUAAUAUAGCACUUCAUGCAAAUAUAUAUUUAUACAGCAGAAUAGAGGAUGGCGUGGUAUAAUGAUUUUCCCCACGUGAGUUUGGGGUAGUCCACAUUAUUCAUGAGUGGCAAAGCCUUGAGUGAGCUACCCAGGUGUCAAGGUUCCUUCCCCAUUCUGAACUCUAGGGUACAGAUGUGGGGACCCGCAUGAAAGACCCCUUCAGCUU